GACGAACCGUGCGAACGUUGUUCGGAUUCACUGGGCUUAAAGGGCGCGUAGGCGGGCGGUCAAGUCGGGGGUGAAAUCUUUCAGCUUAACUGGAAAAGUGCCUCCGAUACUGAUCGCCUCGAGGGAGGUAGGGGCAUGUGGAACUUCCGGUGGAGCGGUGAAAUGCGUAGAUAUCGGGAGGAACACCUGUGGCGAAAGCGGCUCACUGGACCACAACUGACGCUGAGGCGCGAAAGCUAGGGGAGCAAACAGG
rnacentral:rRNA from 1 species